rnacentral:rRNA from 1 species
GACGAACGCUGGCGGCGUGCUUAACACAUGCAAGCCGAGCGGUAAGGCCCUUUCGGGGGUACACGAGCGGCGAACGGGUGAGUAACACGUGGGUGACCUGCCCUCAGCUCUGGGAUAAGCCUGGGAAACCGGGUCUAAUACCGGAUAUGACUCCAUGACGCAUGUUGUGGGGUGGAAAGCCUUGUGCGGCUGAGGAUGGGCCCGCGGCCUAUCAGCUUGUUGGUGGGGUGAUGGCCUACCAAGGCGACGACGGGUAGCCGGCCUGAGAGGGCGACCGGCCACACUGGGACUGAGACACGGCCCAGACUCCUACGGGAGGCAGCAGUGGGGAAUCUUGCGCAAUGGGCGAAAGCCUGACGCAGCGACGCCGCGUGAGGGAUGACGGCCUGU